rnacentral:rRNA from 1 species
AGUGAACGCUGGCGGUAGGCCUAACACAUGCAAGUCGAACGGCAGCACAGUAAGAGCUUGCUCUUACGGGUGGCGAGUGGCGGACGGGUGAGGAAUACAUCGGAAUCUACUUUUUCGUGGGGGAUAACGUAGGGAAACUUACGCUAAUACCGCAUACGACCUACGGGGGAAAGCAGGGGAUCUUCGGACCUUGCGCGAUUGAAUGAGCCGAUGUCGGAUUAGCUAGUUGGCGGGGUAAAGGCCCACCAAGGCGACGAUCCGUAGCUGGUCUGAGAGGCUGAUCAGCCACCCUGGAACUGAGACACGGUCCAGGCUCCUACGGGAGGCAGCAGUGGGGAAUAUUGGACAAUGGGCGCAAGCCUGAUCCAGCCAUACCGCGUGGGUGAAGAAGGCCUUCGGGUUGUAAAGCCCUUUUGUUGGGAAAGAAAAGCAGCAGGUUAAUACCCCGCUGUUCUGACGGUACCCAAAGAAUAAGCACCGGCUAACUUCGUG